GUCCACGCCGUAAACGAUGGAUACUAGCUGUUGGGGUAACUUCAGUGGCUAAGCGAAAGUGAUAAGUAUCCCACCUGGGGAGUACGUUCGCAAGAAUGAAACUCAAAGGAAUUGACGGGGCCCGCACAAGCGGUGGAGCAUGUGGUUUAAUUCGAUGAUACGCGAGGAACCUUACCAAGGCUUAAAUGUAGAUUGACCGGUUUGGAAACAGACUUUUUCGCAAGACAAUUUACAAGGUGCUGCAUGGUUGUCGU
rnacentral:rRNA from 1 species